GGACGUGUUCAUUUAUUUCUUUCUACUUACGUAAGGUUGACGUAUCGGUUAGUUUACGCUUGUUGCGUUAGUAAAGCUGUUUUCAUUAAUUACUUGUACAGCUUUUGAGCCACUCUCGAUUUUACAAGAAUGUGUUUUUGUUACGUGUUUCGAAUUUAUUUAUGUAAUUUUUUUUAUGAAGAGUAGACUAAUCGGAUGUUUUCUCCUGACAUUCAAGCUAUUGUCUAUUGGACGACAGAGGAUCAAUAGAAGAAUACAAUGGAGGAGGCUGCUACCGAGUACACACCCAUAGGAGGUUCUAAAGCUUUCCGUAAAGUUCGCAUCGAUACAUUUCAUACAUCUGCAUGUGAAGCGGAACUCCUUUCUUCAUAAAAAUCAUAGCAGUAUUGGGAUAACCCGCUUUAGAUGCAAUAUGCAUCAAUGUAUCUCCAUCCUAGAAAGCAUUCGAGCUUCUUUUCCAUAAACUCUUAGUAACAUUUGGAGUGGUGCCAAUGCAGCUCCGGUUGGUCGAGAGCAUAAAAUGUGAAUUGGCAAUUGAUCUUUGG